GACGAACGCUGGCGGCGUGCUUAACACAUGCAAGUCGAGCGGUAAGGCCCUUUCGGGGGUACGACGAGCGGCGAACGGGUGAGUAACACGUGGGUGACCUGCCCUCAGCUCUGGGAUAAGCCUGGGAAACCGGGGUCUAAUACUGGAUAUGACUCCAUGACGCAUGUUGGUGGGGUGGAAAGCCUUGUGCGGCUGAGGAUGGGCCCGCGGCCUAUCAGCUUGUUGGUGGGGGUGAGGCCUACCAAGGCGACGACGGGUAGCCGGCCUGAGAGGGCGACCGGCCACACUGGGACUGAGACACGGCCCCAGACUCCUACGGGAGGCAGCAGUGGGGAAUCUUGCGCAAUGGGCGAAAGCCUGACGCAGCGACGCCG
rnacentral:rRNA from 1 species